rnacentral:rRNA from 1 species
UACGUAGGGGGCAAGCGUUGUCCGGAAUCAUUGGGCGUAAAGAGCGUGUAGGCGGCCUGCUAAGUCUGAUGUGAAAGCCCGAGGCUCACCCUCGGAAGGGCAUUGGAAACUGGCAGACUGGAGUCCCGGAGAGGAGGGUGGAAUUCCUGGUGUAGCGGUGAAAUGCGUAGAUAUCAGGAGGAACACCGGUGGCGAAGGCGGCCCUCUGGACGGUGACUGACGCUGAGACGCGAAAGCGUGGGGAGCAAACAGG